rnacentral:rRNA from 1 species
GAUGAACGCUGGCGGCGUGCCUAACACAUGCAAGUCGAACGGAGUCCAGCCUUUAAGACCUUCGGGUCAAUGAGGGGAAGACUGAGUGGCGGACGGGUGAGUAACACGUGGGCAACCUGGCUCAUAGAGGGGGAUAACAGAGAGAAAUUUCUGCUAAUACCGCAUAAGCACACACUGCCGCAUGGCAGAGGGUGAAAAGAGAAUCGCUAUGAGAUGGACCCGCGUCUGAUUAGCCAGUUGGCAGGGUAAGAGCCUACCAAAGCGACGAUCAGUAGCCGAUCUGAGAGGAUGAACGGCCACAUUGGGACUGAGACACGGCACAAACUCCUACGGGAGGCAGCAGUGGGGGAUAUUGCACAAUGGGGGGAACCCUGAUGCAGCGACGCCGCGUGAGUGAAGAAGUAUUUCGGUAUGUAAAGCUCUAUCAGCAGGGAAGAUAAUGACAGUACCUGAAUAAGAAGCCCCGGCUAACUACGUG